rnacentral:tRNA from 1 species
GGAGCGGUAUCGAAGUGGUCAUAACGAGCGCGACUCGAAAUCGUGUUGCCGUCAGGCACGUGGGUUCGAAUCCCACCCGCUCCGCCA